rnacentral:misc_RNA from 1 species
AGCAGCCGCGGUAAUUCCAGCUCCAAUAGCGUAUAUUAAAGUUGUUGCAGUUAAAAGGCUCGUAGUUGAAUUUCGGGAUCAAUUAAUUGGUCGUGCCUAUGGUACGUACUGAUUUUAUUGGUUUCUCCCUUCUGACGAACCAUGAUGUCAUUAAUUUGGUGUCGUGGAGAAUCAGGACUGUUACUUUGAAAAAAUUAGAGUGUUUAAAGCAGGCUAACGCUUGAAUACAUUAGCAUGGAAUAAUGAAAUAGGACGUUUGAUCCUAUUUUGUUGGUUUCUAGGAUCGACGUAAUGAUUAAUAGGGAUAGUUGGGGGCAUUAGUAUUCAAUUGUCAGAGGUGAAAUUCUUGGAUUUAUUGAAGACUAACUACUGCGAAAGCAUUUGCCAAGGAUGUUUUCAUUAAUCAAGAACGAAAGUUAGGGAUCGAAGACGAUCAGAUACCGUCGUAGUCUUAACCAUAAACUAUGCCGACUAGGGAUCGGGAUGAUGUUAAUUUUUAAUGACUCAUUCGGCGCCUUAA